GCCUGGUCUGCAGGGAGCAGCGAGGGGCCGCGAGCGAGGAUGGACCCCGCUACCCCCCAGAAGCCCCUCAGUGGAUUUCCACGCGGAAAGGAUGUUGGCGGCCCCGGUGACACGGCUUGGAUCCACCUUCCACUCCAGAAACCAGUGUGGGGCGUUCUGGCCAUUUCCUGCCCCGCGGGCCGCCCACCCUCCUCAGAUCCCAGUCGCCCUCUGCAGGCAUGACCUCACUCCACGGCCGGGAAGCUCCUGCUCCCCGCCUGUUUACCCUGGCCCAGCGACAGGCCUGAUCUUUUAACCAGAAAAGAAUCAAAAAGAUUGUCCCUCACGAUGGCGGCACCUGUCAGCUGCAUGGAGCUUCAUUCGAGAUUGUCUGAGCUGUGGGGAUUUGCAACCAUGUUCAGUCACCUGGAGAAUAAUGCUGGUGGAAGCAGUCUCUGGAAUUACACACACCCGGCACGUCUCUGGAUGCUGCGGGUGUUUUUAAGGAAGGCCUUGGCUGAGUGACACGUGAAUUCCUGCAGCCUGGAUGCCCACAGGGGAUGGAGGACCACAGUUUCCUGUGAAGGCUGAGCCCUCCAUCCUGAUCUUGACGGUGAUGUGGGGUCGGUCUCUCCAGCUCCCCAUGGGGGCUCCGUAGGAAACAUGGAAAUCCAAGCUCAAAGAGGCUUAGCGACUUGCCCGAGAUACCUAGUUAGUUUGUGCAAAGGCCGGAUUUGCACCGUGUGGUUAGGCUCCAGAGCUGUGAAUUCACCCACUGCCCUGUACCACGUCUUGAUAGCGAUUGCCUUGGACAGUGUCUUCAAGGAGCUCCAGGGUGUAGACAAGCAAGCCAACAAUUACGGUACGUGGCAAUGGACUAUGAGAAGGACGUCUGGAACCCAUGUUCAAGUGGGGAGAGCCCCGGCUUUGGCCCCCGCACUUGGUAGCCGCUGCCGCGUGAACCCAGGCGCUUGUCCUCCAAGAAGAACUGAGCCAGGGGCCGAGGACUCAGCCCUAGAGGCCGAGCCGGGCUGCUAGGGCUGGAGCAGGAGCUGUGGCUGAAAGUGGGCCAUGCCCCCUGCGCCCAGCACCAUCAAAGGCUGGCGAGGUGGGAGCAGCAGGCCACUGUCUUUACUCUGGACAGAGGCUGGUGUGUCUGUCCAGACUGUGGCGACAGGCGGGGAGUUAGCCACGGGAAAGGACUGCCCACUCUUGUCCAUCUUUCCUGGCAAAGAUGAGAAACUGGAGACCUCAAGAGAGAGAGGAACAUGUCCAAGGCUGCGUGGGGGACAGCUAGGACUUGCCAGAGGAUUUAGGAUUCCGAGUCUGAAGUUCAAGUGUCUUGACCUCUGUGAUCUAGGGAUGAGUGCCUUCCAUUGCUCAGUGACUCCAGAACUGCAACUGUGCACGAACGCAUCCAAUGACAAUGUCACAUAGCCACAAGCCUGGGCACCACCGUGCCGGACCCGUUCUGAGCACGCCAUGUGUAUUAAGUCAUGGAGCCCUCAUGCCUCCCUGCGAGGGACGUACUAUCAACGCAGGGACACCGAGGCCUCAGUAAGCUGUGUGUGCUUCAUGCAGCUCAUAAUCCACAGCACCGGAAUCGGAGCCCAGCAGUGGUCUGGGUCCUGCACUCCUCUGAAGGCUACGUGUUCUGUGGAAUGGGGCAGAAUCCUGAUAUACCUGGGAUUAGGUGCUUUUAACCCGAAAAAUGUACAUAUCCAUUCAACACUCCAGAGGGACUUGAGAACGUCCUUCUCAAGUAAAGUUGUGAUGUCUUAAGAUUUGGAGAAUUAAGGGCAGCGAUGGUAGCUGAGGUGACGGGUAAUUUCUUGAGACCCCAGCAUGCCUGCUGGCCGGUUCAUGGCACAGUCAGAAUGUGUUCGCUGCCACCUCCGUAAUUUUUCAGCCUGAGUGAACAGACCUGCACAUCACCUACCUCCUUCAUGUUGACAGCCAUCUUUAGCUCUCGCCUGUCAGACAGGAGGUCGCUGCCUGGCGUUCCAUUUCCCCGAGUCAGGGAUGAUGCGCAUGUGACUGAGCAGGUAUCCUGGGAGUUUGUAACAGUCAGAAAUGAGUAGACUCCUUUCAGAGUUUUCAGAAUCCUGUUUCGCUUAUGCACAAAGAUGUUGGCUACAGUGAUAUUUAUAACAGUGAAAAGCCACAAAAAGCUUCAGCGUCGUAGAAUAUGGGAGUGUGGCAGGAACUGCAGCGUGUGCAGAGAGUUCAUUAUUCAGUCUUUCAGACGUAACGACGAUGGAUAAAAAGGUCUGCCUUAUGGGGCAGAAGAACAGGAGGCACAUCGUUAACACGGCAUGAUGGCAUGAUAAGAAAAAGUGCUAUAAAAGUUUGGAUAAAGUCCCCCCACAGGUCAGCAGUCCUGUCGUGAUCAGCUGCUCCGUGCCAGGCACCCGGGCUGGGGGUCAGCGGAGGCUCUCUCAAGGAGGUGGGCAGCUGUCCGUCCGUGCCCCUGUCUCCACCGUUAGGCUUCUGGAAGCCCCUGGCAGCCUAGCUCUGAGCUGACCGGCUGGCGAAAUGCCGCAGGGAAGAAACUGAAGUGCGACAGGUGGAAAAAUCUCUCCUCCGGGUGGUACCGCAGCAGAAGGAGGGCAAAGCAGGGAGGCCUGCCUGACAGAGCCUCGGCUUGUGGGCGACCAGGCCUGCAUCCAGCCCACAGCGCGGGAGCCCACCUUCUCAGAGUUAUGCUGCGGGGGCUGCGAUGAGUGUGUUCCCCAGAGCGUUACAGAUGCGAAAGCUGCACGUCGGCGGGGCGGGUGGUUGGUGUUGCUGUCUGCAGUUCAGGGGUCUCCUCCCCUGACCACCACCCCCUUAAAAUUCUCAGGCUCUGACAGCACGAGGAGAAGGGCUGGCCAGGGAGCAGAGCCGGCGGGCCCUGAGCGAGCUCUCCUGCUCCUUGGCAAUUCCGGCAUGAUUCAUAAUGAUUGUAGCAGAUGAGGCAUGAGGUCCGCGUCUCAGACUGCAGCUGAUGAAAAUCUUUUCCCAGAGGAAGCAUGCCCAGCCUCCUGGGAGGACCUUUGGAGGACUUCAGCCGUCUGGCUGGCCUGAGCUGCCCGGUUCCCAGCACUGCGGUCAGCAAUGAGCAGCCUGUGAUGGUCGGGCGGUGGUUCCUGUCCGUCUGCGAGUCUCAGAGCCGGCUGUGCCUGGACCGGCUGCAGGCAGGCUCGGCGCUCAGGAUGCUGUAGCUGCCUCCUGGGCAGGGUCCUGAAAAUAGGGAUUACAGCAGGCUGCAUUUAUAUUCAGUAUUUUUUUAUAUCUGGACAAUAACAAAAACAAAAAAUCACUGUAAUUGCACCAAUUAAAAAAUUAGUAUAAGGAUGGGAACCAACAAACACCACCGUGAAACCCAUCCCGUCUCUUCUUGAGAGAUAAUCCGUCUUAUCUGGAAAUUUCUGUGCACCCAGUGCUGUGCUGCUCAGCCUCUCAGGAAAGAAAACAAGCCCUGAAUUGUAGGUUUGCUGAUUUCGGUGGCAAAAUCCUGCCAUGGCUGAGAGGCUACCAAAGGUUUAAGAACUAGUUCUCAGAAUUCUUGAAUAUUUAAAAACGGUUUCGUGAACCCCAUGCACCUCACAGGAGCUCACUUUCCCUUUUCAUUUGGGAAACUGGAGACUUGUUACACACAUCAAUCUGCGUGUCCUUUUCAUUUCCUGUGUCACAGACUCCUCCUCAGGCCAGCACGUGCCGUCACUUAGCUCCUUUCCUUUCCGUGGUGAGGUUUCCAUGAAAGUGCACCGUUGCUUCUGGAAGGUUCUUGGAAGGGCAGAUCCGCCUCGCCAGAAGAGGGGAGGGUGACAGCAGCUCUUAGCGAGCAGGGAGGCUGGCUCCUGCCACACUCUCCACAUCUCAGGCCUGGCGCGUGUCCUUUGAAUUUAUUCUGGCUUCUGGCUUCUUCCAAAUGUUAUUCUGAUGAUCUGUAAGUGACCAGAUCUGGUGGUGACACUUCCCUUCACUCCUGUUCAUCUUCCGCUUCCAUUAGAUAAUCUCAUUUUUCAUUCGGGAAACCUUUCUUGAUAUUUCCCUGUUCCGUGUGCCCCCUCCCCGAGGCUGGGCAAAGUGCCCGUUCUCCACGAUUCCUUUAGAACCCACGGCUGCCACCCAGGACUGUGCUCAACACACCUUACUAGUUAUUGUGUGGUGUCUGCCAGCUACCGGUGGAGAAGCUGGGAUGCUCUGGUAGGCAGAAUGGCCCCCAAAUUGUCCACACUCUGAUUCUGGAAUUAUGCCUGUGAGUAAAAUGUGUUCCUUUACGUGGCGAAGGGACUUUGCAGGUGUAAUUAAGGUUUAUGCAGAGAACUUGCUCUGGCAUAGAAGGAUGCCCUCAAGAAGAGUCAGUUUCCAGGUAGGAGGAUUCGGGGUGCUGCUGCUGGCUCUGAAAUGUGGGGACACUUGUGCAAGAACUGGAGGGAGGAGACGAGUUGCUAAGGGUCGCCCCCAUCUGACUGCCAGCAAAGAAACGGGCCUCAGUCCUAGAAUGCAGGGACGUAACUUCGGCCAAUGGCCUGAAUGACUGAGCUUGGAAGAGGUUUCUUCCCACAGCCCCCUGGUUAGAGCCCAGCCCGCUGGCAGCUGGCAGCUGCCAUCCACCUGGGCAGCCUGGGGCGGAGAACCCAGCGGAGCCACCUCUCACUUCUGACCUAUAGAACUGCGAGGUAAUCAACGUGUGUGAUUUGUUAUGGGGGCUGUGGAAAACUAAGAGUCAUAGCGGCUGGGGACACAGAUUCUGGUCCCCUCUCUUCUGACUUCAGAAAACAGUAGCUGCCCCCCCCAUCCACAGGGGACAUGCUCAAAGACCCCCUGUGGAUGCUCGAAACCGCAGAUAGCACCAAACCCUAUGUGUACUAUGUUCUUCCCUCUACAUGCAUACCUAUGACGAAGUUUGGUCCAUAAAUUAGGCACAGGAAGAGAGUAACAGUAACUAAAGAUAAGGUAGAAGACUCGCAAUAAUAUACUAAUGAAAGUUAUAUGAAUGUGGCCUCUCUCAAAAUAUCUCAUUGUACUGUACUCACUCUCCUUCUUGGGAUGAUGUGAGAUGAUAAAACGCCUUGAGAACUUUCACCUUUUCCCUUAAAAGAAGCACUUUUCGGCUCCUCUUUGGCAUAUCCAAAUCUCCGGCAUCACUCUUUUUGCUCUUUGGGGCCAUUAUUAAGUAAAAUAAGGGUGACUUGAGCACAAGCACUGCGAUACCAUGACAGGCAGUCUGAUCGCCAAGACAGCUACGAGGUGAUAACGGGCAGGUGGCGUCUACAGGUGGAGACGCUGGACGAAGGGAUGAUUCACGUCCCAGGCAGGACCGUGCGGGGCAGCGUGAGAUUUCCUCACGCUACUCAGUAUGGUGUAUAAUUUAAAACUGAGGAAUUGCUUAUUUCUGGAAUUUCCCAUUAAUAUUUGUGGACCACAAUUGGCCACAGGUAAGUGGAACCACAGAAAGCGAAACCGUGGAUGGGGGUGAUGACCAUGAGUUUGCUGCUCCCCGGGAGAACCCUAAGUGCCUAGUGUCUCCCUUUCGAUGUCCCAGGCUCUCCUGAAUGAGGCGAUUCCACCAUCUUCCAAAUGGUUCAUCUUUCCUGCCAUCUGUAGUCCUCACUCAGUGGAUUUUACCUCCACAAUGUGGGGUUCAGCUCGUGAUGUCACCUCCUGUACUGCUGGGCUCGCUUUCUACAGGGUCUCCCCACAUCCAGACCUUCUCUCUUCCCACUGUGCACCCUGUUCCCAGAUGCACCUCCCUGAAGCACGCUUUGCCUGCAUCACUCGCUCCCCAGCUACCGGCAUCCUGUGGUUUCCCUGUUCCCACCGAAUCCAGGGCAGACCCCUCAGCCAAGAAUUUGCAGUCCCCAGUCAGGACAGAAGCCGGCCUCUGCGGCCGAUUUCCCGGGACUCCCUCUGGGCAUUUGUCCCCUUGCACGCCCCAGCUUUCCCAGCUCCACGUCUCACACUUCUGCCAACCCUGUAGGGCCCUGCUCACGAGCCGUCUCAUCCCUGGAGCCUUCACAGAGCCCCCGGGGGUACUGGCAUUUAGAAGUGUGAUGCACAAGUCCCCAUUGACCAUAAAUGCAUUAGUAGGGCCUUCCCUGCCCUGUCCCUUGUUCUCCCUCAGUGCCUUGUGCUUAGUGACACCCGUUACCCAUGCCCACGAUGUAGUCAUGGGUGUCAGAAUGGAGGAGAGAGGCCGUGGGCCUGCUUACCAUGUUAGGCAUAUUACUUAUAGUUGCUCAUUAAAAUAACUCUUACAUGAGCAUUCAGCGCAUUCAUUUUGCACUGUUUUAAAUGGAUACCUCCACUAUCUUGAAACAUCUCCGAAGUAUUUUUAGCACACUCUUCCUUCAACAGUACUUCUAUUCGGAGGAGCUGCUUAUACUGAGUUCCAAGAUGGCCCAGACAUUGGUGAAUAAUAUUUUACUAUUUAUAGUAUUCCGAUCACCAGCUUCAUAAUAAUAGCUAACACAUGUUGAGCACCACGGAUUAGAUCAUUUAAGCCUCACGACAGUGCUCUGAAGUUGGGACUAUUUGUAUCUACGGUUUGUGGAUGAAGAAACGGGACACAGAGAAGUUAAGUGAUUUACCCAAGGUCACGCAGCUAGUUAGUAGUAGAGCUUGAUUUCCCACCCAGGCAGUUCGGCUCUAAAGCCUGCACCCCAGUGUCCCCUAGACUGCAUUGUAUCCCUCUGCACAGCUACGCUUUUGUCCUCAUCAGAGGCAGAACGACCCUUCGUCCCGGGGUGAACGUCAUCAGCGUUAUUGCUGGGGAUCCUUACUGUCUUUAACACUGCCCAUGUGCACAGGGCUUCACAGAGUUAGAGGUGCUCCCCUCCGUUCUCACGCCGAGCAGUCACCAGGAUGUGAGACUGGGGGCCGUGACUAGGAUGAUUCCGUUUCACAGAUGCGUCCCAAGUGAAAUGACCAAGUCCGAAGCAGCAAUCUCGCUGAAGCCACUGGGUACAGGGGACUCAGGCCCCCAGCACUCCUUGUCCUGAGGUGGGUGGGAAUCCCUUCGGCCACAAGAGGGACUCCUGACCUGGCCCGAUUGCCACCCCACUCUUAAACGCUGCUGUUCCCACACCAGACGGGUCAUGGUCGAGCCCCCUCGAGACACUUACACAGGCCCGAAUCGGAAAUGAUGACUUUUUUCCCUUAGAAUUUCAUUUUUGGUCUGUGGAUUUUCCAUUUAUGAGUUCUUAUAUUCUCUCUUGGGGUAGGGAGGCCCAUUUUCUUUUUUUUCUUCUGUUUUUCCCCAAGCUGGAGAAAUAUGGGGUAGGGAGGGGAAAAAAAAAAAAAUCUUUCCAUAGUCCAUCCUAGGGAAGUUUGCCAAAGAGUGCGUCUUGCCGGCUGCUGGCUGGAGGCCCAUCCCUGUCCUCAGAAGCCACGUCCACAGCGAGCGCUCUGCAGACCUAGAGCCAGCAUCCAGCCCAGGGGACGUCCAUGGUGGCCCUGGCAUUGACGGCUGCACGCAGGCCGACCCUGCCUCGGAAUGUACUUUUGAGCACAGAGCAUCUCCUUGCCGCUAACCAUCCCCUGUGCUGGGAAGCUGCGUAUUUCCUAUUCCCAGUCCUACUCCCGCCCCAAUUCAUUCCUUUUAAUAACUGCACAGGAAGUUCCUUUCCCUCCAGUAAAGAUGGUCAUAACAUUUUUCAGCCUGGGUGUUGACAUUUUCUUCGAAUCCCCAAGAGCCUUGACACAGGCGCAUGAAUCACAUUUUAGAAGAGACCAGAGCUUGGCCUCUAGAUUAGAUGAGACUGAAGUUCAAGUACAGGGCUGGGCCUUGGACUGGCUGUGUGGCUGUGGGCAAGUUGCUUAACCUCUCUGAAGCUCCUUUUUCUGUCUGCAGAAGUGGAGGGCGUAGCUCCAGCAGAGCUGUGCCUCCCCAGUUUGGUUGAUGGCUUGACAGGAUGCUGGGAGGUUGGCAGAGAAAAUGAGAUAAUGCGACUAAGUCAUUUCCCAUUGAAGAGGCUUCAAAGUGUUCAUGAUCUUAGCAGUUUUGCUUUAAGGAACUGGGGCCACAGGGCAAGUUCAAGUUUACUCUCGUCUUUAUAAGGGCGUUACUGGUGGCAGGCAGCACAUCCAGGCAGAGAACCCGGGCUCUGGGGUCAGAAUGUCUGCUGGUGCAUCUGGACGCCACACUUACCAGCUCUGGGACUUUGGACACGUUUAACUUCUCUGUGCCUGAUUUUCCUCAUCUGAAAAAUGGCGAUAAAAAUGUCCCCUGCCUCAUAAAAUUCUUGUGAGGCUGAGACGCGAUAAUGUGUGCACAGCCAUAAAAUAAUGCUUGCCGCGGGAAGUGGGAAGCACUUCUUAGCUCCUGUCGUUACGGCCCCUCCCCUCUGUGUGUGUGCGUGUGCGUCUGCAUUGUAUGGAUGUCUGCUUUUCCACUAGCAUGGGAGCGCUGCACACCUUCGGGCACGUGUGGUCUCUGUAGGGCACAGAGUGAUGUGACAGCUGUUUUGGGGAGAAGGGGUUCAAACUGUGAUCCAAAGAUCCUUGUAUCGGAAUUGCCUGGGGGCGACUGUCAAAAAUAUCAACUCCCGGGCCCCAGCCCAGAGCCACCGAAUCGGAUGCUAGGUGAUCGGAUGCUAGGUGAUCGGAUGCUAGGUGAUCGGAUGCUAGGUGAUCGUUUGGAUUCCUGUUUGGUCUUUUCUUUCCAGUUCUCAGCCCGGCAGCUACAGCAGAGCUGCAGGCCCUGUGCAGAGAUGGUUUGCUGCAUGCUCUCCCUAUCCCCAGUAAAACGAGGACAUUUGGGGGUGCAGAAGAGGAGGCGUGGAUCAACGAACAUGGAGCCUUUGCGUGACUGUUAUCCUGCAAUUGUGGAGCUCGGGAACAUGACGCUACAGGGAGAAAUUGCCCUUUUUGGCAAGAAGAUGAAGAAACUCAGCUCAGAGGCAUCACAUGAAUGACCAGGGGCACCGGCCGAGAACGUCAGAGCAUGAGCUGUUUUGUCCAGGGCUGCCUGACAGCAAGGACAGCUUCUUGUCACCCCAUUGCGCUCUGCGGGGACCUCAGCAAGCAGCGGCAAAAUCGCUGUGGAAGUUCCGCCAGGAGAAGGCACGUGGCCUGCCCAAGCUUACGCAUUGUGACCAGGGUUACCUGACACCCCUUCCAGCGCCCUUGGUCUGUCCGGUUGAGAUCUCAUGGGUCAGUGGACAUCCCUGAAAUGCCAUGCGGCUGUGGCUUGAGCAGAAAGCUGCCAGGGUAGGCUGUGGAGUGAUGGCCAUGAGAACAGUUAACACGAACGGAGCAGCUGUGAAGGCGGCGCAUAUACCAGAGACGGAUGCAGAGAGGGAGAAGGGCCCGAUCCGCGUCGCUUUGUUUCUCGGACGGGUUUCCCACGUGCGUCUCACGCAGAAGCCGCGCCUGUGCCUCCCUCUCCUUCGUCCUCCGCGGAUGUUCUUUCUCGGGCGGCCUCGUGACAGCGAUCGCGGUAUUGACCUGCAAAGCGCCGCUCGCCAGCGGAUGGAGUCCUGACGGGGAAGAGGCGGUAGCGCUGGUUCAGAGCUUGGGCUGCAGAGUCUCACAGUCUCCUCUGCUCCUACCUGCCUCAGUCACCCGGACAGGUCCCUCAUACAAUGGGUUUCAGGGAAAAAGAAAUUUCCUGGCCUGCUUGAUACCAAUUAGAAGGAAGCAGUGGCUUCGACGAGGGCAAGGAAACAAAAUGCAGGGAGAGCGAUAAGCUCUUGCCAGUCCAGGGAGCUGCUGGGUGGCUGCAGGGAGCGUUCCGAGGUGGUGGCAGGUGUGCCGUCUCGCACAAGUUUCUUUAUAGUGGCAAAGUGGAGUUUGCUGGACUGUCCCUCCAGUGAAAAGUGAGAACUAUGGCGAUGACCUGUGUGUGCUUAAGACGAAGCUCCAGAGAAGCACGGAAAGAACUUGACAGUUGUUUGGAGAUCACCAAGCUAAGGCGGGGAGCUGAGUCCCAUAGAGGCGGAAUACGGUGCCCGGUCACUCAGCCAGCUCAAGGCGAAGCCAGCUCCUGGGACCAACUGCGGUUUUCUUCCUCCUUUUCCAGUAGAUGUUCCAUGCCACCAUCUUUGUUCCUGUCACCUUUGUUCCUUGACGGAAGCACCUACGGUCCCUUUCCGCCAUGCCGGUUGACUUCAUACUCUGGGCUUUUUCCUGAGUGGCUUCGGUGUAGCUGGUGGCCUCUUGCCACACGCAUUAGGCAUCUCCGGUUUCAUUCGACAGCCUCUGACUGCGGGUCUCAUUGGUUUUGCUAGUUGUGUGGUCCGUACAGGUAAAUCAUGACUGUAGGCUGGGAGUGUUGGGUCCAGGUCUGCAGAACUAAGUGGGAAAUGCCGUGUGAUAAUUAAUGACAGGUGUCACCUUGGCCAGGCCAUGGUCCUGUUGGUUCUGUUUCUCUGGAGAAACCUGAUAAACGUGAGCAGACUUUAGAAUGACACAGAUUCAGGUCCAAAUUUCAGAACUGCCACUGCCCAGGUUAUUUCUGUAACUUCGCUGGGCUUUAGUUUCUCUGUCAGUGAAAUGGAAAUAAUAUGAAUCCUUGCUACAUGGGUGGCAAUAAAGGCUAAACAGGACGAUUAAUGUAAAAGCACUUAAUAUACUGCCUGGCACAGCGCCCAGCAAAUAACGCUGAUUCUUCUACAGGUCGUAGUUGUCUGUGACCCACGUAUGUGCACGAGUCACUUAUCUACUCGCCGCCCCACAAGCCACCCCAACACUUAGUGGCUUUAAACAAGGACAGCUUAUUUCCUCAUAGUCUCGUUGGGUGGCUGAGUCCUGCUGGGUGGUUCUUCUGUCCCACUUGGAGUCAUCUGGAGGCACUUGUGGCCGCAUUCAUGCUGAAGCUGCGAGGCCAACGUGGCUUCACUCAUACCUCCAGUGCCUCAGUGGGGGUGAUGAGUGGCUGGGGCAUCUUUUCCACGAGGUGUCAUCAUCAAUCGUCCAGCCCAACCUUCAGAGGAUGGAACCUGGGUUCCAAGUGACCGGUAAAGUGAAAGCCACCUGGCCUCCCAAAAGCUAGACUCAGAACCAGCCCACAUCCCGAGCGCUGGACGCAGAACCGGCCCACACCCCGAGCGCUGGACGCAGAGCCGGCCCACACCCCUUCCAUCACAGUCAGCUGGACGGACGGGCAGCCACACGCCAGCCCAGACUCAGUGGCAGGAGCGAUCGGCUCCACUCGCAGCGGGAAAGACAGCAGCUCAUAGAGAAAUGGGAGGAAUUCUUGGCAAACGUCGCUGGCUCCGCCCACCCCAGGGCGCGAGUCGCUUUCUAUGUCUGCGAGUCUCAGUCUCUAUCCUCUUUAACCUCAAGGAUUAUCUGUUCCGAGGUAGUGAGCACAACAGAAACGCUGGAGCCAGCUUGUCUUGCUGCAGAUCUUGCCUCUGCCACUAACUAGCUGUGUGGCCUUAGGCAAGUUUCUUAUCUCUCCGUGCCUCAGGGUCUUCAUCAGGGAAAUGGGGAUGUUAUCCAUUCUAGAGCAGAGCAUGUGCGAGGAUUAACUGAAAUACAUCUGUGUGUGGAGUGUCUGUGCAUAUGCAUGCCUGUGUAUAUAUGGCUGUGGACCUAUACACGUAUGCACAUACGUAUAUAUGAGUGUGUGUAUGCGUAGGCAUGUUCAUACACAUAAGCGUGUCUAUAUUUGUGUGUGCACAUGUAUGCGCAUAUGUGAAUGCAUAUGUAUAUGUGUCAUUGUUGAUAUGCGUGUGUGUGUGUGUGUGUGUAUGUAUAAAUCUAGUGCAUAGCUCAUAACUGAGAUUUUCCUGGUUUAUACGUAUGUUUGUGCCUUGCGCGGAAGUCCCAGCCUGCCUUGCCCUGCGUCUGGUCCCAGUGUUUUCUAGAUAAUUUUAAAGUUGGACCUGAGAGCUGCCGCCUAGCUGGGUCUCGAACGGAGGCCUUCCAAGGCUAAUUAAUGACUGUGCUAAAGCCUGCCCUUGGGAAGCAUCAGAAGUAUCAGUGGGUCCUGGUAAAAUACCAAUUAUUCCUGGGCCUCAGCCCUGGCCUGUUGAAACUGAGAGAGACUGAGAGUUUGACUAUUUAACCAGUCGCUCUGGGGCUUUUUGCUGGGAACUCCCACGACGCUGCUUUUCCUGGUGGCUGGUCUCCUGGCUGCCCAGUGCUGCCUCCGGUGGUACCAUCUUCACUCUGAUUACGAUGCUCUCCUUUCCCCUCCCAGAAAUACCUGCUACGUUCUACUCCUACACAGCCAGGAUCCCGGAGGCGUGCAAAGCACCGGGCCAGUCUCAUGUUUGAAUUUCCAUUCCAAUUUAGCAUUCCCACCUCCCCGAGGAGGACGCCGUAUCCUCCUGUCACCUUUUCCAGGCUGAGCUGAGGUCAGGUUUAGCUCUGGGUGGCCAGACCACCCUGGGCCUCUCUCCCUUUCAUUACCAGCUGAUUUCCCCCAGGGUACAGCUUCUGGGUGUUGCAGCCCAUUGCUUUGUUAGUUCCCUGAAUCUUCCCACUAAGAAAAAAACACAGAGCACUGAGGCUGUAUAAUAUAGUGCUCUAAGUAUUACCCUACGAGAAAGAUAUAUUUCAAUAAUUUAUCCUGAAGCUAGGCGAUAAUAAGUAAUUUACAAAAGGAUGUGGAGCCAGCAUUCAAACCCUCGUCCACCUCGCCUCUAAUAUACCAGAGGUGAGACAAGUGAGAUUUCUUUAAAGGUUGUAGGACCUAAAUACGUCCCUUUAACGUAGUUGAGCAGAAUCUCGCAGAGAAAAUUUUUUCCCAUUUAAAAUGUGCAGACUGCCCUUGGGGUUAUAACACGUUCCAGAAAGUCAGGAGCCGCCUGGCGCUGGCCGCACGGGAAGGCACACGGUGUGUGAGGCUGGCCGGGGUGCGGCCGCUUGGAGUCAGGCUGCUCACUGCCUGCCUCUGUCCGGUCUUUCGGUUGUAAACAUGUUUUCCUCCUCGCACUUUGGAAUCCGUCGUGGUUUAAAUUCCAGGUUGUAAACCCUUGUAGACAGGGGUUCGGAUCUUGGCAUUAACCCGCCCCCCGGUUAUGUGUGCGGGGCUGGGUCGCUGCUAAAGGCUUUCUAAACUUUAGCCGAUGCUCACAGCUCCGUGGAGAGAGAAGAUGCCGAGGCAAACAGCCUUCCGUGGGGGAGCCACCGGCCUGGCUUCAAGCCCAGCACGUCUCAUCACGCUACCGGGAGUCCUUUGUUUAAGAGGUUGUUACCUGAGUGUGUGUGAAGGGUAAUGGAGGCUGGGUUCGAAUUAUGGGGAAAAUCGCCUCCCUUCUUCAUGAGGGAUUUCCCUGUCCCCUCUGCCCGCAUGGUGGAACAGCUGACCACUGUGUGCACUGAUGCGGGUGCCCGACCCACUUCCCCACGGAGCCUGGAGCUCUUUCCAUCCGCCCCACCUGCCUCCAGGGACUCCGUCGCUGUCCCUGGCUUGUGAUGGACUCUCCUAGUGAUGUGUCAGCCGAAUUAAUAAAUAACAAUUGCACAUUACCAAUCAGACUACUUUGGGAGUGUGGAGCUCCUGUCUGGGCACCCGUUGGCUGCAUUUCUUAUUACAGAGCACUAACUACCUCUUCCGGAAAAAUCCCCAAGUCCAGACAAACUAAAGAAAGAAGCUAAAAACAUUCAGAGAUGACUAAUUAAAUGAACGGAUACAUAUGUGCAUACACACACGCACACAAACACACACACACAUACUUAAAAUUGUUUGGUCAUAUAUAUUAGCUUGUAGGCUAUUCAGGUUGCCAUGUACCCCUUAUGGAGUUUGGACCCAUCUCGCCUUCCACCGUCUCCUGAGCCCCCCGGCAGGAAGCUGGCACGAACGUGCCCAUUGCAGCCUCUUCUCUUUGGCACGUAGCACAGACCAGACACAGGGUCAUUCACAGCCUACGUGUCCCUUCUUCAGAGGGUCUCCGUCCCUGCGGACUGUGUGAUGCCCCUAUUCCCCUUCCAGCCCUUGAUUUCUGUAACACGCGUCUCUAAUUAAUUAAAUCAUGAUUCGUGGUGUUGGGAGCCGAGCCCGAGUGGGUCUGUUGUGUUCUGGCGGCCGGCAUGGUAUUUUAUAAUGGUCAGAAGCAAGGGCUUGUGUCAGAAACACCCGGAUGUACUACGGCUCUGCCCUUGUCAUCUGAGUUACCGCGUGACCUGCCUCGCACAGUGAUGGUGACUUUUAAAUGAGAUGGCACGUGAAGAGUGCCGCACACUUCACAGCUUCCCCCGGAAGAACAUUCAGCCGUUGUUGCUUGGGGUGUGGUUGGUGGGUGGCGAGUGCCUACACUGUGCCCGGCAUUGUUCUGAGCGCUUUACAUCAAGUUGGCGAAUUGCGGGUCAUCGGCCAUAUUCCACCCACCACCUGUUUUUGUAAAGCCCACGAGCUAAGAAUGGUUUUUACGUUUUUAAAUGGUGGAGAAAAGUCGAAAGAACAAUCAUAUUUUGCGAUGCAUGAAAAUUACGCAAAAUGUAAUUUCAGCAUCUAUACGUAAAGUUUUAUUGGAACACAGCAUGCCCUUUCUUUUGCAUAAGUCUAUGGUGGCUUUUAUGCUACAGUGACGGAGAUGAGUAACUGGGACAUAGAUGGUGUGACCCAUAAUGCUCAAAAUACUUACUGAAAGAGUUUGCCAACCCUCGGAUUACAUGUAUGAGCUCAUCUAAUCCUGCACAAGGCAGGCUGUUAUUGUCACCAUCCUCAUUGUACACAUGGGGAAGCGAGGUACAGAGAAGUUAAGAAAUUGCCCAAAGUCACUCAUGGCUUGAAAGCGGUGGAGAGAAGGGUUUGGUUCCCAGAGCUGGGGCUCCUAAUGGUUCCACCGUAGGGCAUGGCGCUGGCCUUCGCGGGUGAGGGACGUGAAGCACGAAGAGGUGAGGUCGUGCACCCAUGAGUGGCAGAAUCCGGAUUUAGAACCAGUCCAGGGACCUCGGAGCUGUUGAUCUUUCUCUCAUAACGGACUCUUUCCACCUCUGCAGUCUCCUGGCAUCACCUGCUAGAUACAGGACCAAACACACAGAGGCGUUCAGUCCGUCCUGAGAAAUUCAGGAACCUGAGAGCAGCGAGCUGGAUGGCACGGCGAGAUAUGGUUAUGCACUGAAUUCAGACUUAGUAAAUGUUUGUGGGAUGAAUGAGUGGAUGGAUCUGGUUAAUAGUUUCUGAACUCUUAAGAGUUUAGACUCUGGAGACAGGAUAGGGACCCCUGGGGAAAGCAGUGGACCCCAGGACCAGGGAAAGAGACCUUCCUGGACGUCAGUCAUGCUCCUCCAGUGGUGUGGGGGAGCUUGGGCCACAGUGCCAAACACUGUUCUUCAGUUAAAAUUCCACUAAAGAAGACCGCUGUCGUUUCCACGCCUCUGGCUUUGCUUUUGUUAAUUAUGAAUGUUUGGUUUCUUUAAACGGCUUUGUUGAGAUAGAAUUCUCAUGCCAUACAGUUUACCAAUCUUGGCACAUUUCCAAGACCUCAAAAAGCAAGUCUGGACCCUUACUAUCGCCUCCCAGCCCCCUUCCACCCCCAGUCCUAAGCAACCUGUAAUCUACUUUCUGUCGCUGUUCGGGAUGUUUCCUGUAACGGGAUCAUAGGAAAUGUCUUUCAUGACUGGCUUCGCUCACCUGGCAUGAAGUGUUCAGGGUUCAUCCACGAUGUCUCGGGUAUGUGUACUUCAUCCCUUUCUAUGCCCGAAUACUAUUCCAUUGUAUGAAUAUAACGCCACAUUAUGUAUGUUCCUUCAUCGGUUGAUGGACAUCGGGUGGUUUCCAUCUUUUGGUUAUUAUGAAUAAUGUGGCUCUGAAGGUUUACGUACAAGAUUUUGUGUGGAUGUAAGCUUUUAUUUUUCUUGUGUAUGUAAACCUAGGAGUGGAAUCGCUGGGUCAUAUGGUAACUGUGUGUAACCUUUCGAGAAAGUACCAGGUUGUUUCUCAGGGUGGCUACCCUGUUUUUCAUUCCCCCUGGGACGUGCCAUUCAUUCAUGCUCCUCUUUAAACAUAACUUGAUUCCAUGUAUAUGGAUUUUUAGAGCAUGCAAAAUUAGUUAACGGUGCUAGAAGUCUGUGCAGUGAUUGCCUCGGGGAGGAGGGCAGAGACCGCGAUGAGAAAGGCACAGGGCACUUUGUGGGCGAGGGAAAUUUUUUUUGUGUGUCUUGGUGGUUUACUGCUUUUUGGUGUAUGCAUUUGUCAAAACUCAUCAAACUGUUCAUUUAACAUCCGGACAUUUCACUGGGCGUUAAUUAUGCCCAAAUUAAGGAAAAAAAAAAAAAAAAGCACACA